rnacentral:rRNA from 1 species
GAUGAACGCUGGCGGCGUGCCUAAUACAUGCAAGUCGAGCGAACAGACGAGGAGCUUGCUCCUCUGACGUUAGCGGCGGAUGGGUGAGUAACACGUGGAUAACCUACCUAUAAGACUGGGAUAACUUCGGGAAACCGGAGCUAAUACCGGAUAAUAUAUUGAACCGCAUGGUUCAAUAGUGAAAGACGGUUUUGCUGUCACUUAUAGAUGGAUCCGCGCCGCAUUAGCUAGUUGGUAAGGUAACGGCUUACCAAGGCGACGAUGCGUAGCCGACCUGAGAGGGUGAUCGGCCACACUGGAACUGAGACACGGUCCAGACUCCUACGGGAGGCAGCAGUAGGGAAUCUUCCGCAAUGGGCGAAAGCCUGACGGAGCAACGCCGCGUGAGUGAUGAAGGUCUUCGGAUCGUAAAACUCUGUUAUUAGGGAAGAACAAAUGUGUAAGUAACUAUGCACGUCUGGACGGUACCUAAUCAGAAAGCCACGGCUAACUACGU